rnacentral:lncRNA from 1 species
GGUGAUAACGCUGCUCUCCGACAAGGAGACCCUGGAGUAUGAAGACAUGGUCUCGGUGUUGUGGUGAAAUGAAUAGCGGGAGAAGUUGACCAAGGAAUGUGCUCCAUAAGAAGGCUUGGCCAUGAGAGAGAGAUCAGGAAGAGGAAGGGAAAGAGGCAAGUCAAGGAGAUGGUCAAAGUCUCAAAAGAGCAGGAGAAAGAAAGAAGCUAGGUGCUAUAAGUGCAAUG